GACGAACGCUGGCGGCGUGCUUAACACAUGCAAGUCGAACGGAAAGGCCCUGCUUUUGUGGGGUGCUCGAGUGGCGAACGGGUGAGUAACACGUGAGUAACCUGCCCUUGACUUUGGGAUAACUUCAGGAAACUGGGGCUAAUACCGGAUAGGAGCUCCUGCUGCAUGGUGGGGGUUGGAAAGUUUCGGCGGUUGGGGAUGGACUCGCGGCUUAUCAGCUUGUUGGUGGGGUAGUGGCUUACCAAGGCUUUGACGGGUAGCCGGCCUGAGAGGGUGACCGGCCACAUUGGGACUGAGAGACGGCCCAGACUCCUACGGGAGGCAGAAGUGGGGAAUAUUGCACAAUGGGCGGAAGCCUGAUGCAGCAACGCCGCGUGCGUGAUGACGGCCUUCGGGUUGUAAACCGCUUUCGCCUGUGACGAAGCGUGAGUGACGGUAAUGGGUAAAGAAGCACCGGCUAACUACGUG
rnacentral:rRNA from 1 species